AUCAAAUACAUACAAUCACUUGAUCUUAGAUUUAGAUAAUGGCUAGUUUUACAACCAAGCAUCUGCUUCUUGUGGCUCUAUUCUCGCUUUGCUUCAUCUCAACGAGUACUCGAGCGAAAAAGCUAGGCAUUGCUCAAUCCCCGGAUCUUGAAAGUCUGAAGGGAAACGACGGCGUUGCAAGAGAAGAAGUGUUGCAAGACAAUGAAGAGUUGGUUAACAUAGAUUAUACUCCAGUAAGGAAGAAGACUCCCAUUCACAAUCACAACUAAAGCUACUUGGUUGAAUAUGAUACAACUAUACACACAUGCAUAUAAAUACAUAUAUAUCACUAAUUAAGACUGUGCGCUUUGUUCAUGAGGCUUUGUGUACGUACUUUUAUAAUAAUAUAGACAGAGCUGAGUUUUAAAAAAGAAAAGAGUUUGUAUAUAGGUAAGCUUGAUUGCCAUCUAGGGUUUGGAGGUGAAAUAAGGAUUCGAAUUUCGAAAGGAUUUGGUUAUAAAUAUGUAAAGAUUGUUAAAUAUAGCCCUUGUAUUUUGAUGUUUUCU